rnacentral:rRNA from 1 species
UACGAAGGGGGCUAGCGUUGCUCGGAAUCACUGGGCGUAAAGGGCGCGUAGGCGGAUAGUUCAGUUGGGGGUGAAAGCCCGGGGCUCAACCUCGGAACUGCCUUCAAUACUGGCUAUCUUGAGUACGGGAGAGGUGUGUGGAACUCCGAGUGUAGAGGUGAAAUUCGUAGAUAUUCGGAAGAACACCAGUGGCGAAGGCGACACACUGGCCCGUUACUGACGCUGAGGCGCGAAAGCGUGGGGAGCAAACAGG